rnacentral:rRNA from 1 species
GAUGAACGCUGGCGGCGUGCCUAAUACAUGCAAGUCGAGCGAACAGACGAGGAGCUUGCUCCUCUGACGUUAGCGGCGGACGGGUGAGUAACACGUGGAUAACCUACCUAUAAGACUGGGAUAACUUCGGGAAACCGGAGCUAAUACCGGAUAAAUAUUGAACCGCAUGGUUCAAUAGUGAAAGACGGUUUUGCUGUCACUUAUAGAUGGAUCCGCGCCGCAUUAGCUAGUUGGUAAGGUAACGGCUUACCAAGGCAACGAUGCGUAGCCGACCUGAGUGGGUGAUCGGCCACACUGGAACUGAGACACGGUCCAGACUCCUACGGGAGGCAGCAGUAGGGAAUCUUCCGCAAUGGGCGAAAGCCUGACGGAGCAACGCCGCGUGAGUGAUGAAGGUCUUCGGAUCGUAAAACUCUGUUAUUAGGGAAGAACAAAUGUGUAAGUAACUAUGCACGUCUUGACGGUACCUAAUCAGAAAGCCACGGCUAACUACGUG